CAAUUUCUCCAAUUCGUCGCUCUCCUCGCCUGCGCACCGCAGGCGGCGGCGGAAGCGGAACUGCUUGUCUGCUUCUGCGAGUGCGAGUGCGAGUGCGAGUGCAGCCUGCAAUUUGGGGGGAAUCGCAGCGCCGUCACCGCAGGAGCGGGAGCUAGGAUGGAGAAGAAUAAGUACAUCGGAGGGGGAUAUCUUCUUUCAGAAGAGGAGGCUCUAGGAGGAGGUCAAUUGAUAGAUGAAGCAAAAGAAAUGGCAAGGAAGAAGGAUCUAGAGCUAGAAGCAGAGGAGCUUAUUGCAGACAAUGUAGAUGAUGAAAUUCACCUUGAGGAAGUAAAUGAUAGUACUUUGAAUGAGAGCAGCUUCCCCUGCACUGCCAUGACAAUUUCUUGGAGAACUGACAGGAGAAACUUGAUCACUGGAACAGAGAGGUUCAUGUUGAGAAAUGUUUCGCACAGCUCUCAGAGAAGAGAGAAAGAAAGGGACAAAAUGAUCCAAAGUGAAGGUUUCAUUGAGGCCGAAUGCUUUGUCAGUGCUAGCACUAGCAGGAUGCUGCUGGUAGAGGUUUUCAGUGGUGAACUGGUACACAUGGAUGGAGAAUUGGCAGUGGCUCUAAACAAUGUUCUGUCCUGGGCUGUGGGCCUGUGUCCAAAUCUUAUUACUGCUGCAUUCUCCUGUUUUUGCAUAAUGAUGUGUCAAGGCGCUGGCACUAGCAGGAUGCUGCUGGUGACUUUAGAGGUUUUCAAUGGUGUAACUGGUAGUGGUACACAUGGAUGUUGCCUCCUGGGUUGUGGUCAAAUCUAAUUGCUGUUGUUUCAUGAUGCAGUUUGCUGUGUCCAACAUCUUUAGCAAACUGAUCAGUUUCUGUUUUCCUUUUGUCGCAUUGCUGUGUAAAAAGUCAUAUGGUUUCUAUAAAGUGAAG
rnacentral:lncRNA from 1 species